rnacentral:lncRNA from 1 species
CUUCAUCUUCUUCCCUAAAAAUCCAAUUGAGACUCCAAAAAAUGCCAUACCCAUAUGAAAUUAAAAAAUGUUUUAUGCAAAUUAUUAACUCCAAAAUCUCUUCCCAACCCCACGCACCCUCCUAAACCCAGAAAAUCAAAUCCACAGCCAUGCCAUCAUUGUCGCCUAAACUUGGAAGGAAAUCGCCGAAAAUCGCCACUCACCUCUACCUCGGGCGGCCGAAUCUUUCUCCCCGUUAGCUUCUGGAAUAUGAAUAAACAUUUUUUGGGCGAAAUCAAUGGCUCGUCAUCAUUGAAUGCCUCGUUUCAUGACGGUUAAUUAUUGGGGAUGGCUCUACUUGUACUUUUAUUAUAUUUCGUUUCAUCAAACUUGUGUUUGUUCUUGAAGUUUAUGGAUAUUGGAAACUGGAAAGUAAAGGCACAGCUUUCCGGUUAGUGCUUCAAACUGGGUAAAUCAGGGAG